UCUUUGUAACAGAAAUCACAAAUGAUCAAAAUACUGCUAAGGACCAGCCUCCACAUGAAGAGAAGUUCUGAGGAAAGGUGUGUCUGGGACUGGUGAAAACAAAUGUCUUUAAGACAAAUGAAGACCAGCAUGUGGGAUCGCUCGUUACAAGAUGGAGAGACCCCAAAGUGAGCUCACAGGCCCAAAUUAAAGCACAUAUGGGGAAUUCCAAGUGAUCAAAAAGACAGGAUGCCAUUUCUCAUUAUGAUACAUAUUGGAUUCCUCUUCCAAGUCCAGAGCAUUUGCUGGCAUCAGGUUGUAAGGCUCGAAGCGAGACUUAACUA
rnacentral:sRNA from 1 species